GACUAGAUUUAUAGAACAUACUGUAUGUGGUGAUUAACUAUGAUUAAUUGAAAGCUAUAACCCCGGGGAGUCCAAAGGAGUUGAAGCCCACAAGUCUUAAAGUUCCCAAGUCAGGACACCUCUGGUAUAACCCCUCUAUAUGUUGUUUGAUGGCUGGGAGGACUUUCCCCUGGAAAGACACUACGCACUGAAUAUCAAAGUACUGGAUAGAACAAUAAACCGGCAGUCCCACUACCAAUAUAUUUUGAUUUCUGUUUUCCAUACAUGCCACUGGCAUGGAGUCUCUUGGUUAUGGGAAACUAGAGAGAGAACCCGGAAGGUAGCUAUUGAGAAAUGAUGUCAAUAUUAGCCCUUUUUUCUAUUUUUGGAACUGAACACAAUGACGACUUGAUGUGCAAGCUACCAGCAUUAUCUGAUUACUGGAUAAACCUUCACAGAACUUGCUGUAGUCCCAGAUGUUCCCUUGGAUGUCAAGCCUAUUAAUCAGAAAGCAAGAAUGAAUUUGGAACUUCUCUGACAUCUUAUAUGAGUUGGAAAUAAAAUCAUUGAGAGGUAGUAAAGGAACUUCAAGAAAGCAGAACGACCUGCUCAGCCAUAAAGAAGCUUGCUAAGCUCUCACACGCCUUCAGGGAACAUUAGUGGACUAUCGACUUAAGUUGGGCUGAUGUAAGAUGGAAUAUUUAUUGCCUUAUGAAGGCUGCGCAUAAAAACAACAGCAGAAAUCAAGAGGGCAAAGUUCUCCCUCCUCUAGGCCAUCAUGAUGCAACACUUUGAGGAGAUGCUCCUUUUCAGAAAUGGCCAGGAAGCUGAUGCAAAUGAUCCCUGGCACUGCACAACAAGAAAAAGAAUGGGCUAAUUUAGUUGUCGCCACCACUUAGAACAUCUCUAAAUGAAUAGCUGCCACUAAGUGUAUUAAAUUAUAGCUGACGAUUAGCCUCUCUCAUAAUGACUGCCUCAUUGUUUUAUGUUUCACAACCCACCUGGCAUUUUUCACAUAAAACACCAAGACACACACACACACACACACACAUGCAGAUUGAGGCCAGAGGUUGACUUCUAACCAUCCCAUUAAAAGUUUUUGCUGAUAUUUUUAUGUCAGAGUAGUUUAU